CAGCCGUAAACUAUGCGCGUUAGGUGUAUCGGUGACCACGAGUCACCGAGGUGCCGAAGGGAAACCGUGAAACGUGCCGCCUGGGAAGUACGGUCGCAAGGCUGAAACUUAAAGGAAUUGGCGGGGGAGCACCACAACAGGUGGAGCCUGCGGUUUAAUUGGACUCAACGCCGGACAACUCACCGGGGGACGACAGCAAUAUGUAGGCCAGGCUGAAGACUCUACUUGAUGAUCUGAGAGGAGGUGCAUGGCGUCAGUGACU
rnacentral:rRNA from 1 species